rnacentral:rRNA from 1 species
CAUGAAGUCGGAAUUGCUAGUAAUCGCGGAUCAGCAUGCCGCGGUGAAUACGUUCCCGGGCCUUGUACACACCGCCCGUCACACCAUGGGAGCCGGUAAUACCCGAAGUCAGUAGUCCAACCUCUUGAGGACGCUGCCGAAGGUAGGAUUGGCGACUGGGGUGAAGUCGUAACAAGGUAGC